rnacentral:tRNA from 1 species
GUUGGUGUAGCUCAAUGGAUAGAGCAGCAGACUUCUAAUCUGCCGGUUGAGAGUUCGAGUCUCUCCACCAACG